GCGGGCGUGGCGAAAUGGUAGACGCAGCAGACUCAAAAUCUGCCGUAGCGAUACAUGUCGGUUCGAGUCCGACCGCCCGCA
rnacentral:tRNA from 1 species